rnacentral:rRNA from 1 species
UACGUAGGGCGCAAGCGUUGUCCGGAAUCAUUGGGCGUAAAGAGCUCGUAGGUGGUCUGUUACGUCUGCUGUGAAAUCCUAGGGCUUAACCCUGGGCCUGCAGUGGAUACGGGCAGACUAGAGGUAGGUAGGGGAGAAUGGAAUUCCCGGUGUAGCGGUGGAAUGCGCAGAUAUCAGGAGGAACACCGAUGGCGAAGGCAGGUCACUGGGCCGCAACUGACGCUGAGGAGCGAAAGCAUGGGGAGCGAACAGG